rnacentral:snRNA from 1 species
AUCGCUUCUCGGCCUUUUGGCUAAGAUCAAGUGUAGUAUCUGUUCUUAUCAGUCUAAUAAAUGAAAGGCAUACACAGAUAUAAUUGGCAAGGCCUGGCAUCUCUU